rfam:Gossypium hirsutum cultivar TM-1 unplaced genomic scaffold scaffold2097.1, whole genome shotgun sequence
AAUAGGAGAAUGACAAAUCAGAUUUUUCCUCUUGAUUUUUUGCUUUUUGCUCUUGAAAAAAAUUCAAAUCCAAUUGAAAAUGCUAAAAAACAGAAGGAAAAAUACUGAUUUGACAUUUCUCCUAUU